CCUACGGGAGGCUGCAGUGGGGGAUAUUGCACAAUGGGGGGAACCCUGAUGCAGCGACGCCGCGUGGGUGAAGAAGCGCCUCGGCGCGUAAAGCCCUGUCAGCAGGGAAGAAAAUGACGGUACCUGUCGAACAAGACACGGCUAAUUACGUGCCAGCCGCCGCGGUAAUACGUAGGGGGUAAGCGUUAUCCGGAUUUACUGGGUGUAAAGGGGGCGUAGAGGGCGAUGCAAGCGAGGAGGGAAAGCCCGGGGCCCAACCCCGGAACUGCUCUUGGAACUGCGUGGCUGGAGUGCAAGAGGGGCAGGCGGAAUUCCGGGUGUAGCGGGGAAAUGCUGAGAUAUCAGGAGGAACACCGGUGGCGAAGGCAGCCUGCUGGACUGCAACUGACGUUGAGGCCCGAAAGCGUGGGGAGCAAACAGGAUUAGAUACCCGGGUAGUC
rnacentral:rRNA from 1 species